rnacentral:ncRNA from 1 species
AUUCAAUACAGAUGUAUUCAACGCAAGACAGUUGGGCAUCUCCCUGUAGGAUGAAGUUUAAUAGAAGUCUUAACAACAAUUCUCAUUGUGUGGCUACUCUGGUCGAAAUGAGAUGCGUUAGGAUGGAAGAGGUUAACCGUAAGACCUUGAGUUGCAAAACUCUAAAAUUGACCUAGAGAUAUGGAUUUCAGAAUUUUCUCAUUUUCUAGUUACGAUAAG